rnacentral:lncRNA from 1 species
GCUCAUAUUACAGAAAAAGAAGAAAUGAGGCAUCAAGACCCAUUAUCAGUUGCCUUUGCCAACAACUAAAACUGCCCUAGUUUUUUGAUUAAAUGUCGGAAAACAGAAUGACAACAUACUAACUGUCUGCAGCAGCAACCAUAUUAUAUAGAGAUGAAAUGGUGUACCAUAUACUAACACCAAUUACAAUUUCAGUGAAACUCAAUUACAAUUUCUUUCACAACUUCACCGCGAUUACAACUUCCAACAAAAGACAAAUAGUUUUUCAUAAUAACAAACAAACAGAGAAUAAGUAUUAAAAAAACUAAUUUCUUAAAUAAUUUCAUUUCUUGUCUCAUUUCAAUUAUAGUAGGAUCAUGCAUAAUGAAAUUAUUUGGCAGUUGCGUUUCAAUAGUUGUCAAUGAUUUUUCUUCAUUUAUGGCAGCUGCGUUUCAAUAGUUGUCGAUAAUUCUUCGUUGCUCUCUAUUAUUCUUCCUGAUGCCAUGUUGUCUUUCUACAAAAAUAACAAAAAUCUCUAACUGCAAAAAUAAUAUCAGCUUAUCAGCAAAUGAAGAUUCGUAAGCAAAUGAAGAAUGCCUAUUAAUUUCAUAAAGCAAACCAAAUCACGGCCCAUUUGUGUUGUGCAAGUAUAAAUAGGUGUUUUUCUCUCUGCUUUCUGUUGCAGUCAUUCUAUUAUGAAGGAAAGGCUAUUAUGUCAAAUGAGAAAUUUGAUAACCUCAAGGAAGAGCUAAUGUGGGAAGGAAGCAGUGUUGUCAUGCUAAGUACAUAUGCCUUCAACAUAUGGGACCUUUACCUACUUUCGUAUGACACGUAUUUUUUCAUUAAUACUGUUAUAGUGCACAACAUCUUUGCAAUGCUAAAAUUUGAGGAAAAUUAGUUUUAAAGCACUUGAACAUCUUUGAGACAAUUUAUCAAACACCACAAGUGCACAACUUAAUGUGAGUAAUGUAGAGAGAGUGUGUUAUGCAAAGUGAGUUUGUGAAAAUUUAAAAAUCACGCCUCUCAUCUAAUUCCAUAACAAAAGAGAGUAAUAAUAUGCAUACUGCUAGAAGAGAGAAGGAAGGGAGCAGCGACAGCGGCAGUGGCGGCAUAGGCGAAGCACAGUGGAGCAGUGAAGCAGCGUUUGGCAAAGAGAGAAGAGAUGAAAGUGUUUGCAAAGAGAGAAGGCGUGAUAUGGCUCUCAGACUAAGUUUUUUUUUUUUAUCAUAUAUCAAUCAAUA